GAUGAACGCUGGCGGCGUGCCUAAUACAUGCAAGUCGAGCGAAUGGAUUAAGAGCUUGCUCUUAUGAAGUUAGCGGCGGACGGGUGAGUAACACGUGGGUAACCUGCCCAUAAGACUGGGAUAACUCCGGGAGACCGGGGCUAAUACCGGAUAACAUUUUGAACCGCAUGGUUCGAAAUUGAAAGGCGGCUUCGGCUGUCACUUAUGGAUGGACCCGCGUCGCAUUAGCUAGUUGGUGAGGUAACGGCUCACCAAGGCAACGAUGCGUAGCCGACCGGAGCGGGUGAUCGGCCACACUGGGACUGAGACACGGCCCAGACUCCUACGGGAGGCAGCAGUAGGGAAUCUUCCGCAAUGGACGAAAGUCUGACGGAGCAACGCCGCGUGAGUGAUGAAGGCUUUCGGGUCGUAAAACUCUGUUGUUAGGGAAGAACAAGUGCUAGUUGAAUAAGCUGGCACCUUGACGGUACCUAACCAGAAAGCCACGGCUAACUACGUGCCAGCCGCCGCAGUAA
rnacentral:rRNA from 1 species